UAUUUUUUCGGUUCCAUUUUC
ensembl:piRNA 21ur-9487 ncRNA